UACGUAGGGACCAAGCGUUGUCCGGAAUCAUUGGGCGUAAAGCGCGCGUAGGUGGCUUCAUAAGUCCGUUGUGAAAGUCAAAGGCUCAACCUUUGAAAGCCGAUGGAUACUGUGGAGCUAGAGUACGGAAGAGGCGAGUGGAAUUCCGUGGUGUAGCGGUGGAAUGCGCAGAUAUCAGGAGGAACACCGGUGGCGAAGGCGGGUCUCUGGGCCGUAACUGACGCUGAGGAGCGAAAGCGUGGGGAGCGAACAGG
rnacentral:rRNA from 1 species